UACGUAGGGUGCAAGCGUUGUUCGGAUUUAUUGGGCGUAAAGAGCUCGUAGGCGGUCUGUCGCGUCGGCUGUGAAAACCUGGGGCUCAACUCCGGGCCUGCAGCCGAUACGGGCUGACUAGAAUUCGGUAGGGGAGACUGGAAUUCCUGGUGUAGCGGUGAAAUGCGCAGAUAUCAGGAGGAACACCGGUGGCGAAGGCGGGUCUCUGGGCCGAUAUUGACGCUGAGGAGCGAAAGCGUGGGGAGCAAACAGG
rnacentral:rRNA from 1 species